UACGGAGGGGGCUAGCGUUGUUCGGAAUUACUGGGCGUAAAGCGCACGUAGGCGGUUUUGUAAGUUAGAGGUGAAAGCCCGGAGCUCAACUUCGGAAUUGCCUUUAAGACUGCAUCACUUGAACAUCGGAGAGGUGAGUGGAAUUCCGAGUGUAGAGGUGAAAUUCGUAGAUAUUCGGAAGAACACCAGUGGCGAAGGCGGCUCACUGGACGACUGUUGACGCUGAGGUGCGAAAGCGUGGGGAGCAAACAGG
rnacentral:rRNA from 1 species